CAUAUCAAUAAGCGGAGGAAAAGAAACCAACAGGGAUUGCCUUAGUAACGGCGAGUGAAGCGGCAAAAGCUCAAAUUUGAAAUCUGGCACCUUCGGUGUCCGAGUUGUAAUUUGAAGAAGGUAACUUUGGAGUCAGCUCUUGUCUAUGUUCCUUGGAACAGGACGUCACAGAGGGUGAGAAUCCCGUGCGAUGAGAUGUCUGAUUCUAUGUAAAGUGCUUUCGAAGAGUCGAGUUGUUUGGGAAUGCAGCUCUAAGUGGGUGGUAAAUUCCAUCUAAAGCUAAAUAUUGGCGAGAGACCGAUAGCGAACAAGUACAGUGAUGGAAAGAUGAAAAGAACUUUGAAAAGAGAGUGAAAAAGUACGUGAAAUUGUUGAAAGGGAAGGGUUUGAGAUCAGACUUGGUAUUUUGUAUGUCUUGCUUUCGGGUGGGGCCUCUACAGUUUACUGGGCCAGCAUCGGUUUGGACGGUAGGAUAAUGACAUUGGAAUGUGGCACCACUUCGGUGGUGUGUUAUAGACUUUGUUGAUACUGCCUGUCUAGACCGAGGACUGCGUCUUUGACUAGGAUGCUGGCAUAAUGAUCUUAAACCGC
rnacentral:rRNA from 1 species